CAGUCGCCACGGGAAUACGUAGGGUGCAAGCGUUAAUCGGAAUUACUGGGCGUAAAGCGUGCGCAGGCGGUUUGUUAAGACAGAUGUGAAAUCCCCGGGCUCAACCUGGGAACUGCAUUUGUGACUGGCAAGCUAGAGUGUGGCAGAGGGGGGUGGAAUUCCGCGUGUAGCAGUGAAAUGCGUAGAUAUGCGGAGGAACACCGAUGGCGAAGGCAGCCCCUGGGCCAACACUGACGCUCAUGCACGAAAGCGUGGGGAGCAAACAGGAUUAGAUACCCCAGUAGUCCCUGUCUCUUAUACA
rnacentral:rRNA from 1 species